UCAAUCACAAAUUUGUUAAAA
rnacentral:piRNA from 1 species